CCCUUAGAUGUUCUGGGCCGCACGCGCGCUACACUGACGAAUGCAACGAGCUUAUAACCUUGGCCGAAAGGUCUGGGUAAUCUCCAAAUUUCGUCGUGAUGGGGAUAGAUUAUUGCAAUUAUUAAUCUUCAGCGAGGAAUUCCUAGUAAACGCAAGUCAUCAACUUGCAUUGAUUACGUCCCUGCCCUUUGUACACACCGCCCGUCGCACCUACCGAUUGAAUGGUCCGGUGAAGCCUCCGGAUUGGCGCGCACCUCGGUGCCGCCGAGAAGUUGGCUAAACCUUACCAUUUAGAGGAAGGUGAAGUCGUAACA
rnacentral:rRNA from 1 species